GCCCCCGUGGCGGAAUUGGUAGACGCGCGUGACUCAAAAUCUCGUAUCUUCGGAUGUGCCUGUUCGAGUCAGGCCGGGGGCACCA
rnacentral:tRNA from 1 species